rnacentral:rRNA from 1 species
AACGCGAAGAACCUUACCUGGGUUUGACAUACACCGGAAACCUGCAGAGAUGUAGGCCCCCUUGUGGUCGGUGUACAGGUGGUGCAUGGCUGUCGUCAGCUCGUGUCGUGAGAUGUUGGGUUAAGUCCCGCAACGAGCGCAACCCUUGUCCUGUAUUGCCAGCGGGUUAUGCCGGGGACUUGCAGGAGACUGCCGGGGUCAACUCGGAGGAAGGUGGGGACGACGUCAAGUCAUCAUGCCCCUUAUGUCCAGGGCUUCACACAUGCUACAAUGGCCGGUACAGAGGGCUGCGAUACCGUGAGGUGGAGCGAAUCCCUUAAAGCCGGUCUCAGUUCGGAUCGGGGUCUGCAACUCGACCCCGUGAAGUUGGAGUCGCUAGUAAUCGCAGAUCAGCAACGCUGGUGAAUACGUUCCCGGGUCUUGUACACACCG